rnacentral:rRNA from 1 species
UGAUAAAUUUGACCUCAAAUCAGGUAGGACUACCCGCUGAACUUAA